rnacentral:rRNA from 1 species
GAUGAACGCUGGCGGCGUGCCUAAUACAUGCAAGUCGAGCGAACAGAUGAGGAGCUUGCUCCUCUGACGUUAGCGGCGGACGGGUGAGUAACACGUGGAUAACCUACCUAUAAGACUGGGAUAACUUCGGGAAACCGGAGCUAAUACCGGAUAAUAUAUUGAACCGCAUGGUUCAAUAGUGAAAGACGGUUUUGCUGUCACUUAUAGAUGGAUCCGCGCCGCAUUAGCUAGUUGGUAAGGUAACGGCUUACCAAGGCAACGAUGCGUAGCCGACCUGAGAGGGUGAUCGGCCACACUGGAACUGAGACACGGUCCAGACUCCUACGGGAGGCAGCAGUAGGGAAUCUUCCGCAAAGGGCGAAAGCCCGACGGAGCAACGCCGCGUGAGUGAUGAAGGUCUUCGGAUCGUAAAACUCUGUUAUUAGGGAAGAACAAAUGUGUAAGUAACUAUGCACGUCUUGACGGUACCUAAUCAGAAAGCCACGGCUAACUACGUG